AGGAGUAUAGCUCAGUGGUAGAGCACAUGGCUGGCAGGCACGAGGUCCUGGGUUCAAUCCCCAGUACUUCCA
rnacentral:tRNA from 1 species